CCUACGGGAGGCUGCAGUGGGGGAUAUUGCACAAUGGGGGGAACCCUGAUGCAGCGACGCCGCGUGGGUGAAGGAGUAUUUCGGUAUGUAAAGCCCUAUCGGAAGGGAAGAAAUUGGACGGUACCUGACUAAGAAGCCCCGGCUAACUACGUUCCAGCAGCCGCGGUAAUACGUAGGGGCCAAGCGUUAUCCGGAUUCACUGGGUGGAAAGGGGGCGUAGACGGCCAUGCAAGCCAGGGGUGAAAGCCCGGGGGCUAACCCCGGGACUGCCCUUGAAACUGCAUGGCUGGAGUGCGGGAGAGGCAGGCGGAAUUCCUGGUGAAGCGGUGAAAUGCGUAGAUAUCAGGAGGAACACCGGCGGCGAAGGCGGCCUGCUGGACCGCGACUGACGUUGAGGCUCGAAAGCGUGGGGAGCGAACAGGAUUAGAUACCCCGGUAGUC
rnacentral:rRNA from 1 species